rnacentral:rRNA from 1 species
UCGUGGAGCGAUUUGUCUGCUUGAUUGCGAUAACGAACGAGAUUUCCAGUCUUUGUUCUGCGGUGGCCUUCACUAGCGGCUUCGGCUGCUGGCUGCGGGCUAUCGUAGACUAAGGCUACAGACAGCAUUAAAGCUGUACGAGAGGGAGCAAUAACA